GAGGGAGGAAGGAGUAAGCAAGCCAGCCAGCCUAAGUCAUGCACAGUGGCACAGAGUCAGGAAGCAGAGGCAGACAGAUCUUUGAGUUCAAGGCCAGCCUGGUUUACAUAGUAGUGAGUUGCAAGACAGCCAGGAACACACAGUGAGAUCUUGUCUCAAAACAAACAAAAACCAUCUUAAUCUAUCAUCUUUCAUAAAAGAACCAGGGAACAGUGAGAUGGUCUGAUACCCACAUGCGCACACACACACACACACACACACACACACACACACACACACACACACACACAAAAGUGUAAAAAGUUUGUAAAGAACUAAGAUAACUUUGGUUUCCCCAACUGGAACCCAAUACUCAAAUCCUGCUGAAGCAAAACCAAAUAUUUACAUUUAAAAAUGAAUGCAUGCUGCCAGGCACAGUGGCAGCCUCCUUUAAUCCCAGCUAGAGAGCAGAACUCUUAGGAAUUUGAACCCAACCUGGUCUGCAUAGUGAGUACUAGGCCAGAAAGGGGUACACAAUGAUAACCCUUUGUGGAGGUGUGUGUGCCAAAUGGGAGACCAAGGCAGGAGGAUCACUGAGACUACAGCAUGGGCUACAUGUCAUUUCUAGGCCAAUCUGGACUGUGAAGUAAACCUAGACUCAAAAAAUAAAAUAGAAAACUUAAAAACCUACAACAGCAGACAUAAUGUCACAAAGUACCUACCUGGGUUCUUGCUGUAAGCCCAAACCAAGAGAGCACCAUGCAAGGCUUUCCCCAACUCUGCCUAACACUGCUUCUAAAGUGUCAGGCAAUUGGGGUUGGAGGUUUAGCUCAGUGGUAGAGCGCUUGCCUAGCAAGUGCAAGGCCCUGGGUUUGGUCCCCAGCUCCGAAAAAAAGAAAAAAAAGAAGAAAGUGUCAGGCUGAGAAGGAGUCCUCAGCAAGGGGAGGGUCCAUGAGCACCAGCACCAGUAUGCUCACCUAACACAUCUUCUAAGAGCCAAAGCUGGCAUUAGCCAGGCAGGGAGCAGACCACACAGCCCCUCCUGUGAUAGGUGACUUAUUUUCAAGCCUUAGACUGGUGCACGGAGGUCAACGUGUGCAGGCUCUUCCUUCAGAUGUGGCAAGCAGGGAGAUCUAUGGUCACCAAGUCCCCAUUCCCACUUCACGCUCCAACCCACUUCCCUGUGAUUAUACUCCAUUUCCACCUCAGACAAAUUUAGUACAUCUUUAUAAACAUUUACUUUUCAUCUAUAUUCAAGUUAAAAAAAAAAAAAAGAAAAGCAGGUUUCCCUCUCCAAAGCAGUUAUUGUCCCACUAAAAUAAACAUUUGUGGUGUGGGUGUGGUGACACAGGGAUCUCUGAAACUAGAGUUUUUUUUUAAAUGAGUAUGGGUGUUUUGCCUGAAUGUCUGUGUAUCAAAUGUAUGUGGUGCCCACAAUGCUAAAAGACACCAGAAGAGGGGGUCAGACCUCUUAGGACUGGAGUUGUAUACAGUUCGUUGUUGAGCUGCUGUGUGGUUGCUGGGAACUGAACCUAGGUCCUCUAGAAGAGCAGUCACUGCUCUUAACUGCCAAGCCAUCUCUCCAGCCUGAGAAACCAGGGCCUUAUUAUGCACAGCACAAGAACUCUACCAACACGUUUUCCCCUAAACCAUUUCUGUAGGUAUGGGGGAGCUGUACACAUGCAGAAGUCAUUCACUCUAAGUCUUCCACCUUCUCUUGCUGUCAUUUGUUGUAUGUCUGCAUAUAUGCAGUGUACAGAGUCCAGAAAAGGGCAUCAGAAUAUUACUCCAUCACUUUGUUUUCUUCCUUUGAAGCAGAGUUUCAUUAAACCGAGAGCUUGGGCUGGCUCAGUGGUUAAGAGCACUGGCUGCUCUUCUAAAUCACAAGUUCAAUUCCCAGCACCUACAUGGUGGCUCACAACCAUCUAUAAUAGGGUCUGAUGCCCUCUUCUGGCAUGCAAGUAUACAUACAGACGUAACAUUCAUACAUAAAAUACAUUAAAAAACAAACAAAAACAAAACUAGAGAGCUCAUGGUUUUUCAAGCAGGCACUCAGCAGGCCCCAGUGACCCUCCAUAUGGGUACAGACUCAUCCUCUUCACAAGCACCGUUACUGACCACUGAGCCGGCUCUCUGGCCCCCUUGGUUUUUUUGAGACAGUCUCUCCCACUGGUGCCUAGGGCUUGCAUUUAUCAACUAGAGUGGCCAACUAAUGAGUUACAGAGAUCUAUCUACCUUCAUCUCCCAGCACUGGGAUUCAAACCUGUGUCAUUACAUGAGGAUACUUUUUUCUUUUCAAAGGUUUACUUAUUUUUUAUAUGGGCAGUAUAUAUGUAUGUCUGUAUGUAUACAUACCAUGUAUAUACUUGGUGCCUGAGAAGACCAGAAGAGGACAUCAGAGGCAGGUGUGGUGAUACAGACAGAUCUCUGAGUUCAAUGCCAGCCUGAUCUACAGACCAAGUUCCAGAAUAGCCAGGUUUACACAGAGAAACCAUAUUUUCAAAGAACCAAAACAAAACAAACCCAAAAAGGAAGGCAUCAGAUCUCCUAGAACUGAAGUUACAGAUGAUUGUGGGCUGCCAUGUGGGUUCUGGGUACUGAACUCAGAACUUGUGUAAGAAUAAUAAGAACCUUUAACUGUAGAGCCAUCUCUCCAGCCCUAUAGGAGAUUUUCUAUUGGGUAACAGAAAUCAGAUUCAAGUCUUUAUGCUUACACUUAUAGAGCCAUCUUUCCAGCUCCCUCCUUUCUUUAUUUCAAUAUUGAGAUGGGGUUUUACUAAGGUGUACAGACUAGCCUUAAACUUACUUUAUAGUUCAGACAGACCUUGAACUUAAAAUUCUUCUAUCUUUGCCUUUGAGGUAGAAGGACUAUAUGCCCAUGACACUAGGCAUGACUAAAAAUUAUUAAAAUUACUACUGAGACAGGGUCUAUCAUUAGAGCCCAGAAUGGUCUUGAUCUCAUGGUGAUCCUUCUGCCGGCCUUCCAAAUACUUGUAUUACAGGAGUAAGCUACUAUGCCUGACUUCAAAAGUUUCUCCUGACAGGGUUUCUCUGUGUAUCCCUGGCUGCCCUGGAACUGCUCUAUAGACCAGGCUUAAGAGAUCUGCCUGCCUUUACCUCUGGGAUUAAAGGCAAGUGCCACCCUACCCAGCUCCCAAAGUCAUUGGACUGGAGAGAGCUGUGAUUAUUGGUCCUCCAGAGGACGAGGCACAAUUCCCAGCACCCAUACAGCAGCUUAUAACUGUAACUACAGUUCUAGAGGAGUCAACUCCCUCUUCCUACCUCUAUGCGUCCCAGACUUGCAUGUGGUAUAUAUAUAUAUAGAUGUACAUUCAGGUAAAACAUUCAUUAAAGCGAAUAAUAAAAAUAAAUAAAUAAAGCAAACACCAAAUCGGUUGUGGUUGUGCACAUGUACAGGGACAAUCCUGGCACUUAGGUGGCUGAAGAAAUAAGACCAAGAGUUAGAUGUCAACCUAAACUACAACACGAGCUGGGGACUGCGUAGGCUGUACAGUGACAGUCUGUCUCAAAAACACAAACAGUGCUGGCAAAGGGCCACACCAACAAGUCAACAAAGCUGGAGCGCUAAAACCCAUGGCAGCAGCAGUUGUCCUCUGACUGCGACACACUCUCGUGACAUGUAUGCACAUGCACACACACACAUGCAUGGUACAUCCACACACAGCAAAAAUACAGCAAAUUCUACUCUUGCUUAACAGGCUUUGAUGGCUUUGCUGUUCAGAGGGAGUGGAAUAUUCUUCAGGAAUCUAAAUGUCUGAAAGAUGUUUUACAAAGCUAAGGAGAACCUGAACUGGACUCUGAGAUAAGCAUGAAGGUAAAGUAACAGAAUCCUAAACAAGGACAAAGGUCGAGGGACUCAGCUAGCAAGAGGAACUGGGAAGCAAAAUGCAUAGGGAAUGCUGAGCAAGCAUUAGUUAGUUAGUAGGUGCUAAGGAUAAAACCUGAGGCAGCAGGCUGGGGCUGCUGGGCAGCGGCUCUUUGGAUGCCACAUUAGGACCGCAGAUCUCAUCCUAUAAUCCUAUGUUUCUUUCUCUUGUCCUUUUUCUUGAGACAGGGCUUCUCUGAAUAGCCCUGGCUGGUGUCAUGGAAUUCAAUUUGUAGAUCAUGGUGCUCUCAAACUCAGAGAUCUGCCUGCCUCUGCAGCCUGUACCUGUGUAAACUUCUGAUCGGUGUAGAAUAACCACCAUCUGUGAUCUCUAGCUGUUCUUAAUAGUUUAAAAGUGCUAAACCAGCCCACAUCUUUAAUCUCAGCACUUGGGAGGCAGAAGCAGGUGGAUCUCUAAGAUUUGGAGGCCAGCCUGGUCUACAGAGUGAGUUCCAGGUCAGCAAGAGCUGUGUAGAGAGAGACUAUAUGAAAGAAAGAGAAAGAGGUGUGUGUGGGGGGGAGCUGUCAACAGAGGAAAGGGAGAGGAAAGGAAGAGGGGAAGGUAGGGGAACUAAGCCAGCCAGCCAACCAGCUAGGUGUACCCCUAAAGUAAGGAGACAGGUGAUUUUUGAGUUUCCAUAACAGCCUAGGAUACACAAUCUCAAAAUAACCUAGAGUGCUGAAUAAGUGCUGAAGUUUACAGAUGAAUUAUGCAAAGACAGAGACAGAGGACUCACUACUAUAAUAAUGGUUUUUAUGAUGCAUCACUUAUAAUACCACACUAUCCACACAGAAAUGAUGCUGUUGUCUUUGGAUAACUGUUGAAUCUAGCUGAAUACCAUAUUCAUAUUCAGGAGCUAAUAAAAGCAUUAAACAAAGAGUGAAAAGUUCUCCUGUAUCUCGAUUUUCAAGAUACAGGAUACUUGGACAGCAAGACCAAGGAGAAACUUUAAGGACUCUUGAACUCCCUAAGACUGUAUGCAUUAGUCAAUGCUGUCAACUUGAUUAACAGUCUCCUUCUGUAUCACUAAGAGAUCCAAUGCCCAAAAUGAGGUAAGAGGCUUAGAGUUUGCUAUUUAAGCAGAAAGAGCAAAAAUUUAACCCUGUAGAUAAUUUAAUUCCCCCUGCCCCCCACACACACCCCCAAAAAAGCAAAGUGAGCUGAGCUGGUCUUGGGGAAAUCCUAAGCUCAUAUUUUAUUAUCUCUCUCCCUUAAUAACUACCCAAGAAACUUUUUGUAUUUCACCAAGGCUAAAAUUUUAUUAAUCAUCCACAAAUUGAAAGGGCAAUGAAAUAAACACUACUACUCGUUUCCUUUCCUCACAACCUGCUGCCUGGGCCAGCUGCAUUCAGUCCCAAAGAUAUCUGUCUCCAGACCAGGGUGCUGGUUUCUCUCAAAAUUAAACAUUCAGAGGUGACAUGAUCCUAACAGACAUGAAGGGUACCGUCUGCUUGGCCUCCUUAAUCAUCUUUUGUGGGUUUCAUAGGACGACAAUAUACCUGUAAGAAAAACCUAAGGGCCCCUAGGUAAAAAUGUGGUUGACAGCAGCCAGGACCCUUUCUAGAGCUGUAUACCCUUUUGGGGAUUGCCAGCCCCGCCUCCAUCAUAAGCAUCAACAGCUUUUAGCUCUGCUUUUGUCUCCAGACAAGAGUCUUGCUACGCAGCUCUGGCUAGCCUGCAACCCAUGGCAAUCCUCCUGCCUCAGUCGAGUGCAUGAGCUCCCAUACCCAAUUUCAGUUUUGUUUUUUUAAUAGUUCUAACACUCCUACAUCUCCUGACGGACUGUCUCUUUAAGAGACAAAAUUUAUCAAAUCAUCCUUAUCCUCCUAAACCACAUACUCCAAAAGAAGUGGUGGUCGAGCACCAAAGAACUCAUACCCCAAAUAAAACUCAGCCACUGUGGACAUUAUUUAGGUUCUUCAAGAAGCAGUAAACAGUGUCCUGAACAGCGCGGAAGUCUCCGAGGGUUCUCGGUGGUGCCAGGCGGCGGAUCAUCGCCCUACCAAAAGCACAGGGCCCUGAUACCACCCUGCUUGGCUCGUUAGGCAUUUUAGGCCUGUUUCGUCUUAGUCUCAAGCAGCCUGAAAAAAAUUACUCGCAAGAGUGUGAAAUCUUAAGAGCGAUUUACGUUUAUCACUGAUUUGGAGGAACGUUACGGCCGGGAGAACGAGCUGGCAGUAACCAUAUCACAGCACUCCGGGUCUGAGACACCCAGGGAUUCGGUCUGAAAGGCAGGUUUCCCGCUACCCCGCCGGCCGGUCCUAGGGCUCAGGGCUCUCCGACCUCCACCCGAGCUGCCCUCCCAGCCUCCGUGCCAACAUCUGGAAGGCUCGGCGAAAGGCCAACCAGGACGCUGGAAUGAUGUCCCAGUGAUGCUCGCCCUAAGUCCGGACUCUACCUACGCGCGCCUGCAACAACCCCGCGCCCGCCGCCACCCUCGCCGUGGGUGUCGGGCGGGUCUUUUGGCCCGACUCCUGUCACUCACCGGCCCGACCCGGGCAGCGGGCGCCCAAGGCUCCCCACGGGAGCUGGGCCCCCCGGGCCUCCAGGUCUCGGCCCGCCCCCUGGCAGGCAGCGCAGGUGGCUGAGCCCCGCAGCAGCGGCCCCGCACCGGCCGCUCGGUCCAGCUCCUGGCGCUGCCCACUGGGUACGGAUCAACAACAAGAUGGCGGCCAGCCGAGGGGGCGGGGGCCGGGCGUCAUAGUAACCAAGGACAGCAAAGAACCCGCCCCUGACUGAGGUUAUUUCCAAUCAACAGCCUCGUCUCGGAACGCCUGAAGGAAUUCUUCCCGUCGAUUCGUCAACUGUUCCGUCAGUCCGGGCGUGCCUCUCGUGCAGAAUGCCUGGGGCACGUGACUGUGACGGCACGAAUUGACGCAUGCGCGCCAUUCUCUGGUUUGCUAGCCGCGGAGCUUUUGCUGUCGAAAGGGGAGGCUGGAGCGCCCUUGGUUUUCUCACCUGCGCAACUGUUUCGGUUUUGAGCUGGCCGCGUUUAUCAUACUCUCGCACACACUUAGGGAAUGUCAACGGAAUUCCAUAUCCUUCCAACAAAACCUCUACACAAAGUUGGCAAGCUGUCCAUGAGGGCUGAUGGGACCUCAAAAACCAACUUGUGGAGCUGCAGAGAAAGCCCCCCCAGAAUCUAUAGUGUAUUUAAAAAUAAAAUAAAAGCUAGGCACAAUGAUGGUCACUUGUCAUCCCAGUACUGGGAAAGGAAGUCAGGUAGAUCUCUGGGCCUCACUAGUCAGCCAACCUAGCCUAUUUGGUGAGUUACAGGUCAGUGAGAGACCCUGUCUCAAACUGAGGAGGGAGCAUGAUAUCUGUAACCAUGCAAGCUCCAAGUCAGCCGAAACUACAAAAGUAAGGCAUGUAUUUAAAAUAAAAUUUUGCCUGGAA